rnacentral:rRNA from 1 species
GACAAUGGGCGGGAGCCUGAUCCAGCCAUGCCGCGUGCAGGAAGACUGCCCUAUGGGUUGUAAACUGCUUUUAUACAGGAAGAAUAAGCCUUACGUGUAAGGUGAUGACGGUACUGUAAGAAUAAGGACCGGCUAACUCCGUGCCAGCAGCCGCGGUAAUACGGAGGGUCCGAGCGUUAUCCGGAAUUAUUGGGUUUAAAGGGUCCGUAGGCGGAUGAUUAAGUCAGGGGUGAAAGUUUGCAGCUCAACUGUAAAAUUGCCUUUGAUACUGGUUAUCUUGAGUUGUAUUGAAGUAGGCGGAAUAUGUAGUGUAGCGGUGAAAUGCAUAGAUAUUACAUAGAACACCAAUUGCGAAGGCAGCUUACUAAGUACUAACUGACGCUGAUGGACGAAAGCGUGGGUAGCGAACAGGAUUAGAUACCCUGGUAGUCCACGCCGUAAACGAUGGAUACUAGCUGUUCGGGACCUUGAGUUCUGAGCGGCUAAGCGAAAGUGAUAAGUAUCCCACCUGGGGAGUACGUUCGCAAGAAUGAAACUCAAAGGAAUUGACGGGGGCCCGCACAAGCGGUGGAGCAUGUGGUUUAAUUCGAUGAUACGCGAGGAACCUUACC